UAUAUACUCCCUCCGUCCGGAAAUACUUGUCAUCAAAAUGGACAAAAAGGGAUGUAUCUAGAACUAAAAUACAUCUAGAUACAUCCCCUUUUAUUCAUUUUGAUGACAAGUAUUUCCGGACGGAGGGAGUAUGUG
rnacentral:pre_miRNA from 1 species